rnacentral:rRNA from 1 species
AGAAUCAACGCUGGCGGCGUGCCUAACACAUGCAAGUCGAACGCGAAAGUCCCGAAAGGGAUAAGUAGAGUGGCAAACGGGUGAGUAACACGUGGGUGACCUGCCUUCGAGCGGGGGAUAACGUCCCGAAAGGGACGCUAAUACCGCAUAACAUCCUGCCUUUUAAGAGGUGGAGAUCAAAGCCGGGGACCGCAAGGCCUGGCACUUGAAGAGGGGCCCGCGUCUGAUUAGCUAGUUGGUGGGUAAUGGCCUACCAAGGCAAACGAUCAGUA